GAUGUUCAGAUGGAAUGAGGUUCGCCUUUCAGUGAAUUGCUCGUCAGAAAGACUUAGAAAUAAGUUCGGAGCAGGCACUGUGGUUCUGUACAGCACAACAUUGAAACCGAUGAAAAUCUAAGAAUAUGGAUUAAAAGGCCCCUACCUGUGACGGGCACUAGGCCCAUCUCCCAUAGGAAAACAAUGAAAUGUAACAGUUAAGCUGCGCAGGAGUUUCCUGGACCUUAAGCAGGGCUUUGGUUGGUGGCUCAGGCUGAUGACUCAUCACCCAUGGCAGGAAGGGGCCCCUCUAUCGGCGUUGGGACCUGGUCAGGUGACCCAAGCCACAGGAACAACCAUCAAACAGGACCAAGAAACAAAAAACACAUCUGAUGGGGAUUUUGGAGAACAUUCUAUGAAUAGCAAUAAUAAAUAAAUUGUUAGCAUCUAAAAGAGGCACCAAGGGUAAUAAAAUUAAUAUCAUGACAGUCCUAACCACAGCUUAAAAUACAAGUUUAUUGAAAAUGAGAGAAAAGCCAAGGUAUCUAUGAGAUCAGAAUGCUUGUCGAGUAAAUUCACGGGGUCAAGAGUGGAGCGCUGGAAGUGGGCAUUCCUGUUAAACAGUCCAGAACGUUCUACAUAAUACCACAGACUCCUAUGUCUUUUUGUACCCUGAUCCCUGCGGGAAGCUCAGUUAAGAGGACCUGCUAUCUCCCUCCUCGCAUGUAAAGACGACGUAAAGCUUGACUUAUCUCCCUUCUCAAUCACCGUGUCACCAGGGUGCAGGCUCCGUGCUGUAGGAUCGGAGGGCCUGGCUGUUUGUGACCUCAGUGGUAAAUCAAGUUCAAAGCAGGCCGUCGUUGGCUGGUAUCUCCUUACAUCGGAGCCAUGGGGGGACAGUGUGUUUGGUCAACCUCUGGGCUCCCCCUCUGACUCCCAGCACAGCCAGGGCCCCACCAGGGGGUACACCAAGUUAGGUGCAAGUGUACACGUCUGAAGUUCCAUCUGAUAAUAUCAAGGUGCUAACUGUCCAGGUCCACAUGACUUUCAGUCUAACUCUGGAGUUAAUCUAAUCAUCUUUUUUUGUAUAAUUCUUAUAAAGGGUGUUUGGUUUAUUGAAAAGAACCAGUGCUUUGGCAAAAUAUCACAUUGAAACAACGGCCCUGAUUCCAGUAAAUGACAUCAAUGACAUUAGAGGCGUGUUGUACUGUAUGAAACAGUAACCAUGAACAGCUCGAUUCCUGAGGACUGAGUCCCCCAAGGCUCCACACUUCCCUGGAUAAACACGUUGCUCUUGCCUUUAUUAAUUCCACUGACCUUAGUGUCACCUUGGAUUAGGGGUUUAUGAAUGGCUUGGGUUUCAAGAAAUGUAAGGAUGAAAAGGGUUAUAGCAACUGGUAUGUGACCGAAACAGCUUUCGGAUAAAUAUUCCAACAUUCAACUUUUUUGAGAAGCACACUGCUGAAUGGUUUACUCGCUAUAAUGUUAAAUGCUAACCCAUCAUGUCUGUGAAUCCUUUGAAGGUCUUUGAGCAAUGCCAUUGGCCAAAGCUUGGGUCCCCCUACUGUGGGAAAAAGAAUCAGCACUGCAAACAGGGUCUAAUGUUUGGCUGUUUUCAAAGCGAACUGUCUGGUAGUACUGAUUGUGUAGAUUAGCUUGUGGAGAGAAGCGGACCCUCACGCAAAGUGUGGUCUGUGGCGCAGCGUGACACAGUCAUUACACAAGAGCAGAAAGAGCCAUGCAAUUAGGUCUUGUUCUAAUGUCACACAACAUUAACUCUCGGUGGAUUUAGACCCAAAGCAACGACGUCCUAUGGGAAGAAAAGAGUAGUCGUAUCAGCAGGAUGGUUGAGUAGCUAACCUUAAUCUUAUGAUUACAAUACAGUAAAUGUCAGUUCAGUAUGUCAUUGUUUAAUCCUUUCACCUUUAGGCUUUGAUGACAGUUGAGAAGGCAGUUAUUAGAAAAUGGGUAUUUAGUCUUGCAUGUUGUUUCACCUAAUGUUGAACCAUGUGGUAUUUAUUUUUCAUUAUAAUUUGGCCAUUUGGAUGUAAUGUCAAGUGCAAAUCCAUGCUGUAACCAAAAUAAACCUGACAACCAAA